ACCCCCAGCAAUGGGCAAAGAGACACUUUGUUGGUGGUGUUGUUCUUCUAUCAGUCAUGGGCACAGCAGAAGGCAGAUUUUGUUCAUCCUAGCUUGAUGCCUGGCUUGGUGGGCAUAGCUGUUUUAUGCCUGGGUUACAUAA